CUUUCCCUUGGUUGUCUAGAGAAACUAGACUCAAGCACAGUCAGCCAUGGCAUGCUAGUCCUUCAAAAGUGGGCCUGGGAAAAAAGUCUCCAUCUACAUAUUUUUGUGCUGAUUCGACCAGAUUCUUCUCAUUGAUUUAACUGAGAGGAAUGAAAAGACAACCAGUUGAUCACAACAAGAGAAAGGGACAGACAGGAGCAGGUAUGUUAACAGUGGAAUAUUAGAGUAAGAAAAAUUCAUGAGGUCCUGCUUUUUAUAUCAUUAGGGAAGUUUAAAAAUCUGAAUGGCCUUUUAGUUUCUGCCUCUAUGAGGCAGAUUCUAAAUGAUUCUUGCUUUCCCUGAGUUCCAUGUAUGUGUGAACUUACAUUGCUAUCACUCCUCAUGUUACACUUCAUCUGGUAAAUUGAAUACAUGUCAAUUCCUUUCAUAUAAAGAGCAUAACAGAAAUUAUAACCACUUGUGUAAUAGUCUUCUUGAAUUUGUAAUCAUCUCUCAAUGAUUUUAGGCUAUCACACAUUGAGAAAGAUUUUCACUGUCUCAUCAUUAAUGUGUAGUGGAAAAGAACACAGAAUUUGAAGUUACCUGCCUGAGUUCAAAUGCUAGCUCCAUCCAGCUGUGUGAUCUUAGGCAAGCAAUCUAACUUGUCUGUUUCUAUAUCUAUUAAAAAAAAAAGAGAGAGAUAAUACACUUAGAGUUGGUGAGAAGAUUAAAUGAGUGAAUACUCAAAGCUCUCAGAUAGCAUCAUCAUCCAAUGAUCAAACAAGUCCUUAUUUCUAGAUGAUAAAAAAAUUAUCUAGGUGACUACUAUCAUGAAUUGGUUAACUGCUAGUUAGGACAGUGGUAUUUACUGUUUAAUUACUUAGAUUCCUUCAAAAUAGUUAAGAUAAUUCCCUUACCCUAUUGGCAUAUUUCAUAAAGGUCUCAUUACACUUUUUUUUUUUGGUGACAGCUGACCAUUGUUACACAGCUUUGUAUAACAACUAGAAAUGGCUAUGUUUUCUUUCUCCCCACCUCCUUUAGGCAUGCAGGUAACUCUCCCCCACUCCUCCCAUUUCUCCUCAUUCCACCAGGGAACCCUGAUUAAGGAACGAAGAAGUCCUACAAAGAGGAGGUCUCAAGUACCAAUCUGCAGCCAUUUGAUGAUGGCAGGAUGGGGACUCUGGCCUCCAGAGGAGGUGCUCCCUGAGGGCCCAGCCUGCUCCAGCCACUCAGAUGACCUGCAGCAGCACCUGCCUAUCAUUCAGCACUUUGAACAGACUUACACUGGAGAGGAGACCAUGUCGCUCUGUGUGUCCACCAUGCCCAUUGUCCUCCAUGUCCGAAGCCCUCUUCUAUGAAAAACAGACGAGGGUUUCUCUGCUCCUAUGGCCAUUAUGCUUUACAUCAUGUGACUCCUGCUUUCUGCUGAUUUAGUUCAAGGAUUUACCUUUGAGACAAAGAUACCUAAAACCCUGGCUAUCAGCCCACAAAGUGUUACUAAACUCUGCCCAGCAAGGAUGGUCAAUAUUGGAUGUUGACUAACCCAUAAAGCAGAUCUCCCUUGGGAAUUUGGAGGGAGACUGAAGUGAGCAGAAGGUAGAGACACAUUGAGACUUCAGAAAUCAUAAGACAGUAAAAGCUAACAGAGAGCUUGAAGUGGAGAGAAAGCAAGUGGAAAGACUCGUGUUGGAGGAUACAGAAGUACAAGCAGAGACUGAAAUCAAGCCACUUACAAGUUGGGAAUCCUUGUCUUAGAAAGCAACAGAAGUUUACUGCUGAAUGGAUCUUUGCAGAUGUUGCUGUUGACCAUAAGAGCUGCUGUCAGUCCUCUACAUCACAUUCUAAAUAAGCUACAGUUCCAGCUGCUGGCUGAAUAGUUGCUAAGACACAAUCUCCUGGUUCUUACUUCCCUUCUGUUAUCUGUAAACCUACACCAACUAAGAUAACUUGAAAAUGUCAUGUUUUUCUCAAACCCAAAUAGGAUUGACCAUUAAGGGCAUUUAUACAUUGCAAAUGAAUUAUUUAAUAGCAAAUUUGUCUCCAUUGUAUUUUAAAAAGAUGAGAUUUAAAAUAAUACUAAAUGAGUCUUACCUGUGUAUAUAUUCUACUGGUGUUAUCUAAGAUCUGAUAAUACUUUGUAAUUCUAUUUAUCUAUUUAGCAAAAGCAAUCAAUUUAUUUCAGAUUACUUUUAAUCCAAAGAGAAGAUGAAAGUAUGUAUCUUUUCCAAUGAAACUUGUUAUAAUUCAAACAAUUGAAAGUGAAUGGAGAGACAUAAGAAAGUUAAGGAUAUUAUCUGAAGUAAUUCAAUUCCAGUUUUCAAUAAAACAAAUUCAAUUACUGUGUAACAAUCUCCUCCCUGUUGAUUAAAAAAACACUGACGAUGAAGUGGUGAAUUUGGCAAUAGAGCAUCCAUUCUAAGAAAAUAACAGUUGAUGAAAAUUUAUGGAAUCUGGCCAGCCUGGUGGCUCACGCCUGUAAUCCCAGCACUUUGGGAGGCCGAGGCGGGCAAUCACAAGGUCAGGAGUUCGAGACCAGCCCAACCAACAUGGUGAAAACCCUAUCUCUAGUAAAAAUACAAAAAUUAGCCAGCUUGGUGGUAUGGGCCUGUAAUCCCAGCUACUCUGGAGGCUGAGGCAGGAGAAUCACUUGAAACCCGGAGGCAGAGGUUGCAGUGAGCCCAGAUCAUGCCACUACGCUCCAACCUGGGUGACAGAGCAAGACUUUGCCUCAAGAAAAAAAAAAAGUUAGCCGGUAGUGGUGGUGCAUGUCCAGCUACUUGAGAGGCUAAGGGACAAAAAUAGCUUGACCCUGGGAGGCCGAGGUUGCAGUGAGCCAAGACUGCACCACUAUGCUCCAGCCUGGGUGACACAGCAAGGAUCUGUCUUAAAAUAUAC
ensembl:lncRNA